UACGUAGGGUGCAAGCGUUGUCCGGAAUUAUUGGGCGUAAAGAGCUCGUAGGCGGUUUGUUGCGUCGGCUGUGAAAUCCCGCGGCUCAACUGCGGGUCUGCAGUCGAUACGGGCAGGCUAGAGUUCGGUAGGGGAGACUGGAAUUCCUGGUGUAGCGGUGAAAUGCGCAGAUAUCAGGAGGAACACCGGUGGCGAAGGCGGCCUGCUGGGCAGUGGCUGACGCUGAGGCGCGACAGCGUGGGGAGCAAACAGG
rnacentral:rRNA from 1 species